rnacentral:rRNA from 1 species
CCUACGGGUGGCAGCAGUGGGGAAUAUUGCACAAUGGGGGGAACCCUGAUGCAGCGACGCCGCGUGAGUGAAGAAGGCUUUCGGGUUGUAAACUUCUUUUCUCAGGGACGAAGCAAGUGACGGUACCUGAGGAAUAAGCCACGGCUAACUACGUGCCAGCAGCUGCGGUAAUACGUAGGUGGCAAGCGUUAUCCGGAUUUACUGGGUGUAAAGGGCGUGUAGGCGGGACUGCAAGUCAGAUGUGAAAACCACGGGCUCAACCUGUGGCCUGCAUUUGAAACUGUAGUUCUUGAGUACUGGGGAGGCAGACGGAAUGCCUAGUGUAGCGGUGAAAUGCGUAGAUAUUAGGAGGAACAUCAGGGGCGAAGGCGACUUACUGGACUGUAACUGACACUGAGGCACGAAAGCGUGGGGAGCAAACAGGAUUAGAUACCCUGGUAGUC